GAUAAAUGCUGUAUAUUGUCCCCAAUAAUGUUGACAUAAGAAAAUUUAUUGCACAGUAAACUGAAGGUUAGAGCAAAACUGAACAAGUACCUGAGUGCCAAAAACAGGGGAAAAAAAGCCAACAACUUGGAUUUCCAGCCAAAUGUGCUAGAAAACCAGUUGAGUUAAUGCUGCCAAUGGCAAGCUGGUUUUGGGCGCCAGAUGUGUUCUCUUCCAAUGAAGUUUAGGAUGUUGCCACACAGAGCUGCUGUUUUUACACUGCCUGAUAUUUCAUCAUCAUCCUUCUCACUUCAAAAUCAGGGAAAGCGUCUGGUGGACCCUGAUAUAUCAGCAAAUCUAGUGAUUUACCUCCUGGGAUUAAAAUUUCAACAUAUACAUUUUGGACAGAUGUGAAGAUUCAAUCUGUAACACCAGAAGAGAGAAAAACAGAAAGAAAAAGAGAAAACAAACCACAACAUGAGGCCAUGACAGAAGAAGACAUUUGUAGCGGGCACUGCAAUAUGCCACCAAAUCCCUUUUCAACAAAGGACCUGCUGCAGCCAUUGAGGAUGUUGAUGGUUACAGCUUACAGAUAGCAGGCUCUUUAGAGGUAGCCUUGCCUGCGGAAAGAGGCAAUCUUUAAUCAAAGACAUCAACGCAGAAGUAAAGGCAUAGGUUUCCAGCCUAACUCAGGAUGUCGCUGAAGAAUGAUUCUAGCUUCAAAUGCUCCCCACUGGGUGAUCUGAGGCCAUUUCUAGGUCUUCUCUGCAGUUCAACUUCUCCCUUUGUCCACUUAUGCUUACUUUCCUUUUCUUACUCAAAUGUUGGUUACCAAUGCUUUAUAUAAAUACCUAGCCUAAAACCCUACAUCUCAGAGCCUACUUUUCUAGAAGUCAACCGAAUACAGUAACAUUGUCAAUAAUUUU